rnacentral:rRNA from 1 species
ACAGCAGUAGCCGCGGGAAUACGUAGGUCCCGGGCGUUGUCCGGAUUUAUUGGGCGUAAAGCGAGCGCAGGCGGUUAGAUAAGUCUGAAGUUAAAGGCUGUGGCUUAACCAUAGUACGCUUUGGAAACUGUUUAACUUGAGUGCAAGAGGGGAGAGUGGAAUUCCAUGUGUAGCGGUGAAAUGCGUAGAUAUAUGGAGGAACACCGGUGGCGAAAGCGGCUCUCUGGCUUGUAACUGACGCUGAGGCUCGAAAGCGUGGGGAGCAAACAGGAUUAGAUACCCCAGUAGUCCCUGUCUCUUAUACC